rnacentral:rRNA from 1 species
UAAUCAUGGAGAGUUUGAUCCUGGCUCAGAACGAACGCUGGCGGCGCGUCUUAAGCAUGCAAGUCGAGCGGUAAGAUUGGUGCUUGCACUAAUCCUAGAGCGGCGGACUGGUGAGUAACGCGUGGGUGACGUACCUUUGUGACGGGGACAGCUCCUAGAAAUAGGAGAUAAUACCGGAUACGCUGCAUGUUG